GCGAUUCUAAACAGGAAGCUACACUGGACGCGAGAAUUGGGGUGGGGUGCGCCAAGAGAAGCAAGCAUUCUAGAACUUGGGGAGCAUGAGAAAUACACGGAGGUGGAAACGCCGGAGUGGCUGGCGGCGGCUGGGCCAGCUGAAGGUGACCAUGGCACACGAGGGAGAGAGAAGCCCGCGAGAGGCGGAGAAUUGUGGGGUCGUCCAGGAGGGUCGACAAGGCAAAGAACCUGAAGAUCACCCAAAAAGGCUCACCUACAAUGUCUUGUAAAGCUUCUGAAAUUUUGCCAGUCUGAAAAUGGAGUCUCGCUCUGUCACCAGGCUGGGGUGCAAUGGCACAAUCUCGGCUCACUGCAACCUCCACCUCCCGGGUUCAAGGGAUUCUCCUGCCUCAGCCUCCAGAGUAGCUGGGACAACAGGUGUGCACCACCACACCUGGCUAAUUUUUUUUUUCUUUAGUGUUUUAGUAGAGAUGGGGUUUCACUAUGUUGGCCAGGAUGGUCUCCAUCUCCUGACCUCAUGAUCUACCCGCCUCGGCCUCCAAAAGUUCUGAGAUUACAGGCAUAAGCCACUGCUCCCAGCCUUUUCUUGAGAUGGAGUUUCACUCUUGUUGCCCAGGCUGGAGUGCAGUGGCAUGCGAUCUCGACUCACUGCAACCUCUGCCUCCUGAGCUCAAGCAAUUCUCCUGCCUCAGCCUCCCAGGUAGCUGAAAUUAUAGGCGCCUGCCACCAUGCCUGGCUAGUUUUUGUAUUUUUAGUAGAGACGGGGUUUCACCAUGUUGGUCAGGUUGGUCUUGAACUCCCGACCUCAGGUGAUCUGCCUGCCUCAGCCUCCCAAAGUGCUGGGAUUACAGGCAUGAGCCACUGCAGCCAGCCUAAUAUGC